rnacentral:rRNA from 1 species
GACGAGCCUCACAAACGUUAUUCGGAAUUACUGGGCGUAAAGCGCGCGUAGGCGGCUUUGCAAGUCGGUUGUGAAAUCCCCGGGCUUAACCUGGGAACUGCAUUCGAGACUGCAUUGCUAGAGUAUGGGAGAGGGAAGUGGAAUUUCAGGUGUAGCGGUGAAAUGCGUAGAUAUCUGAAGGAACAUCAGUGGCGAAAGCGACUUCCUGGACCAAUACUGACGCUCAUGUGCGAAAGCGUGGGGAGCAAACAGG